rnacentral:lncRNA from 1 species
UAGACCUCUGGCCCUUAACCAUGCUUUUCUCCUCCUCCCCAGGAGAAGCCCACGCAUUUUGACUUUCAUGGUAAGGAUUCUUGAACUUGAGCUUUAGAAGAGGUUUUGGAUCCUUUCUCGUUGAAUUAGAUACUGAAGGUGUACUAACUUUCUCGUCGUUCAGGUCAUCACAAGAAGCGGGCCCAGCUUCUGCAUGUUUCAAGGAAGCUAAUUUGUUGCCCCUUGUGGCAGGAACUUCAGCUCCAACCCUUGUAAUAACAUUACCAUCAUUGCUUCUUUUUCCUAAGUUUUCUCGUCGAAUUAGAUACUGAAGGUGUACUAACUUUCUCGUCGUUCAGGUCAUCACAAGAAGCGGGCCCAGCUUCUGCAUGUUUCAAGGAAGCUAAUUUGUUGCCCCUUGUGGCAGGAACUUCAGCUCCAACCCUUGUAAUAACAUUACCAUCAUUGCUUCUUUUUCCUAAGAUACCAAACGUCUUGA